ensembl:lncRNA
GCUAAACUCUGAAGCCUCUGGGGGAGCUCAAAGAGAUCACUACUAUUAAACUCACACAAUCUGUAUUGUUAAAAGUGCUGUAUAAAUAAAGGUGACUUGACUUACUUGACUUGACUAUUUAAAUUAAAGAGAGUAAUGCUGUAUCCCAGUGGUUCUCAACCCGCGCCCUUUCACGAAUUCAAAUGCAGCCAACCAUGCUGAACACAAUUAAAAAAGUAACUUUCAGUUUUACAAUUCAUUUUAGUUUUUACAUUAAUUAAUAAAAAUGUACUAAACAAAUAUAAGCUAUAAUGUUUUUGUUUUGUAAAAUAAUUUACGAAGGAUCACAUACAAACAAGAAGUCACAGUAUCAGCAGUGAAGGUAGGAGAGUGCUGAACUUUCGGCAUCAACUUUCGGUUUGCCCCGCCACUCACAUGAAGAUGUUCAGGCAAAAAGAAGCAAUUAUCCUUAAUUGCAGAAAUGUGGCAAAACAUCUCUGGAGAGAACUUCAGAUUAUUAAAUUCAACAGUACUUUCCAAAUUUGGAUCGACAUAGGCUACAUCUGUGAAUGCACAUUUUCUGCACAUUUACGCCUUACAGUCUGCAACUUACAAUCACAACUUCAUUGUGCUGUUACUCCUUUCGAGCCAAAUUUCACGAAAUUGUCCAUCUCCUGACAGCUUCAGGUGUUCAGGUCUUUACUCAUCUUUCGAGAAGAGGGACAAACACGAAAGGAGCUUUCCCAUUGGAAACACUCACAAUGAGCACAUUCAGAGCCCUCAAGCACGAAUGCACAAGCCCCUGACCAAGACACAUGACUCAUAUAGAUUGUGUGCAUCCUCAAGUGUCCUUGGGCACGGAGGCACACAAUUUCUACAAUGCUCACCUGCCUUGGUCUCUCACACACACUUCAGACAGAUGGCUCCUGAAGACAACAAAAGUUGGUGAGGUUUUCAGCAGGUGCCCUUUUAUGUUUCCGGGCAUCCGCCUAUGAUGUCACGGGCCACGUGGACCAAUAGGAUUGGCAUUGUUUCACAUGUGCUUCAGACAUUGGUCAUGACGACGCAGCAUGGAGUUCCCUAGAAGGGGAUGUUGU